rnacentral:lncRNA from 12 species
UGAAUGUGCACCCAGUGCCUACUUGCCAAAAUACAAACCAUCAACAUCUUCCCUGCUUGCAGCCCCGGAUCAGGACUCCUAAAGAAUAUUGUGCAGGCAGUAUUGCAGUGCUUCUUGCACCACCUUACAUCCACUUCCACCUCUUUGUACACCAGCAGAAUUUCAGAAGGCAGCAAAAAUAAGCUGCUGCAAAAUCUAGAAUUUUAUCCUGAGGAAAUCCCACAUAAAUC